rnacentral:rRNA from 1 species
GAUGAACGCUGGCGGCGUGCCUAAUACAUGCAAGUCGAGCGAACAGAUAAGGAGCUUGCUCCUUUGACGUUAGCGGCGGACGGGUGAGUAACACGUGGGUAACCUACCUAUAAGACUGGUAUAACUCCGGGAAACCGGGGCUAAUGCCGGAUAACAUGUUGAACCGCAUGGUUCUACAGUGAAAGGCGGCUUUGCUGUCACUUAUAGAUGGACCCGCGCCGUAUUAGCUAGUUGGUGAGGUAACGGCUCACCAAGGCAACGAUACGUAGCCGACCUGAGAGGGUGAUCGGCCACACUGGAACUGAGACACGGUCCAGACUCCUACGGGAGGCAGCAGUAGGGAAUCUUCCGCAAUGGGCGAAAGCCUGACGGAGCAACGCCGCGUGAGUGAUGAAGGUCUUCGGAUCGUAAAACUCUGUUAUUAGGGAAGAACAAAUGCGUAAGUAACUGUGCGCGUCUUGACGGUACCUAAUCAGAAAGCCACGGCUAACUACGUG